UUGUUUUUGUUACAAUGAUUUACAUUCAUUACACUAAUGUUUUUGGUGUUUGCGUCCGGGGCCCGAGAGCCCCCAAGACGUACAGUUCACGGUGUGUGUGGAAUAGACACGGCCAGAGGCCAAUCUCUAAUGAUCCUUCCGCAGGUUCACCUACGGAAA
rnacentral:misc_RNA from 1 species